rnacentral:rRNA from 1 species
UACGUAGGGGGCCAGCGUUGUCCGGAUUCAUUGGGCGUAAAGCGCGUGUAGGCGGCCAGGUAGGUCCGAUGUGAAAUCUGGAGGCUCAACCUCCAGCGGUCAUUGGAAACCAUCUGGCUAGAGUCCGGAAGAGGAGAGUGGAAUUCCUGGUGUAGCGGUGAAAUGCGCAGAUAUCAGGAAGAACACCUAUGGCGAAGGCAGCUCUCUGGGACGGUACUGACGCUGAGACGCGAAAGCGUGGGGAGCGAACAGG